UGGUAAUGCCGGAUGCUCCAUCACACCGCAUGGUGUGUUGGGAAAGCCUUUGCGGCAUGGGAUGGGGUCGCGUCCUAUCAGCUUGAUGGCGGGGUAACGGCCCACCAUGGCUUCGACGGGUAGCCGGCCUGAGAGGGCGACCGGCCACAUUGGGACUGAGAUACGGCCCAGACUCCUACGGGAGGCAGCAGUGGGGAAUAUUGCACAAUGGGCGCAAGCCUGAUGCAGCGACGCCGCGUGAGGGAUGGAGGCCUUCGGGUUGUAAACCUCUUUUGUUAGGGAGCAAGGCACUUUGUGUUGAGUGUACCUUUCGAAUAAGCACCGGCUAACUACGUGCCAGCAGCCGCGGUAAUACGUAGGGUGCAAGCGUUAUCCGGAAUUAUUGGGCGUAAAGGGCUCGUAGGCGGUUCGUCGCGUCCGGUGUGAAAGUCCAUCGCUUAACGGUGGAUCCGCGCCGGGUACGGGCGGGCUUGAGUGCGGUAGGGGAGACUGGAAUUCCCGGUGUAACGGUGGAAUGUGUAGAUAUCGGGAAAGAACACC
rnacentral:rRNA from 1 species